rnacentral:rRNA from 1 species
GAUGAACGCUGGCGGCGUGCCUAAUACAUGCAAGUCGAGCGAACGGACGAGAAGCUUGCUUCUCUGAUGUUAGCGGCGGACGUGUGAGUAACACGUGUAUAACCUACCUAUAAGACUGGGAUAACUUCGGGAAACCGGAUCUAAUACCGGAUAAUAUUUUGAACCGCAUGGUUCAAAAGUGAAAGACGGUCCUGCUGUCACUUAUAGAUGGAUCCCCGCUGCAUUAGCUAGUUGGUAAGGUAACGGCUUACCAAGGCAACGAUGAAUAGCCGACAUGAGAGGGUGAUCGGCCAAACUGGAACUGAGACACGGACAAGACGACUACGGGAGGCAGCAGUAGGGAAUAUUCCGCAAUGGGCGAAAGCCUGACGGAGCAACGCCGAGUGAGUGAUGAAGGUCUUCGGAUCGUAAAACUCUGUUAUUAGGGAAGAACAUAUGUGUAAGUAAAUGUGCACAUAUUGACGGUAACUAAUCAGAAAGCAACGGCUAACUACGUG